rnacentral:rRNA from 1 species
UCCGGUUGAUCCCGCCGGAGGUUACUGCUAUCGGGGUCCGAUUAAGCCAUGCGAGUUGAGAGGGGUAAGCCCUCGGCAUACUGCUCAGUAACACGCGGAUAACCUGCCCUUGGGUUCGGGAUAACCCCGGGAAACUGGGACUAAUACCGGAUAGAUCAAAGAAACUGGAAUGUUCUCUGGUCUGAAACUCUGGUGCCCAAGGAUGGGUCUGCGGCCUAUCAGGUAGUAGUGGGUGUAACGUACCUACUAGCCUACGACGGGUAAGGGUUGUGAGAGCAAGAGCCCUGAGAUGGAUUCUGAGACAUGAAUCCAGGCCCUACGGGGUGCAGCAGGCGCGAAAACUUUACACUGCGGGAAACCGCGAUAAGGGGACCCCGAGUGCCAGCACCUAGUGCUGGCUGUCCAGCUGUCCAAAUAACAGUUGUUAGCAAGGGCCGGGCAAGACCGGUGCCAGCCGCCGCGGUAACACCGGCGGCCCGAGUGGUAGCCGUUAUUAUUGGGUUUAAAGGGUCCGUAGCCGGCCUAUUAAGUCUCUUGGGAAAUCUGGCGACUCAAUCGUCAGGCGUCCAAAAGAUACUGGUAGGCUUGGGACCGGGAGAGGUGGGAGGUACUCCAGGGGUAGGGGUGAAAUCUCGUAAUCCUUGGGGGACCACCGAUGGCGAAGGCAUCCACCAGAACGGGUCCGACGGUGAGGGACGAAAGCUGGGGGCACGAACCGGAUUAGAUACCCGGGUAGUCCCAGCCGUAAACGAUGCUCGCUAGGUGUCAGGUGCGGUGCGACCGCAUCUGGUGCCGCAGUGAAAACUUGAAGCGAGUCACCUGGGAAGUACGGUCGCAAGGCUGAAACUUAAAGGAAU